AACUCCAGCUGUUAAAGAGUUACUGUGCUGCAUACAAUCCACAUGCUGGCAAUAAGUGGCUGAAUGAGCAAUGUAAGUAGCUUAAAAAUAGAUCUGCACCAUGAUUAUUUCCCCCACUUGCUCCAUUUCUGCUGUUGCUUCUGGUACUAACACACGCCAGCUUCCUUUGAAGCACGUGAGCGGCUGUCACCUGGGGAUAUAGCUGCAAGCCAUGAAGCACUCCGGGGCUUCGGAUCCAUUAAUCCUGAGAAAUAUUCUGUCGUUAAGGAAUUUCUCAGACAUAAAAGACUGCUUCAAUCAAAUCAUAUUAACAUAUCAGCUCUUAAUGACUGGUAAUCUGUAACAUACAAUUUGAUGCUAGGAGGUACAGAUAUGAUUCAACUCUUUUCACUAGUGUACACCAUUUUUUAAGAAGGAAUGAACCUCCCACUCCCAUUGUUUGUGCAAUGCAGUACAGUAGGACCCCGCUAUCCAUGGAUUAAUUUAUCCACUCUGAAAAUAUUUAAAAUAUUAAAAGAAAAAUCAAAUAUGUAUUUGUAAAUAUGAUGUUACUAGAACUGGCCACUAGAGGGAACCAGAGACCAUGUUAUGUAGAGCAUUUGCUAUUAAAAUAGUGUUCUGCAUUUUGGGUAGUAUUUGAAAUUUAAAACGUCUCAUGUCACCAUCCUGUGGCUUUAAAGAUUUGGUAUAAAAUGAUAAAGGACAAGACAUUUCUCCUGUUGCCAUUGUUCACACAGGCCUUUCUGAAUACAUGCAACAUUAAUGAACCUUUCGCAGUGCCUGCUGCUUGAAAGAAGGGAGACUUACCUGCAGCCAUUCCACGUUCUGGCGACAGACCUCAAGCCCCGGGAAGGCAAAAGAAGGCCAUGAAGACAGUACAGGAUGCUUUAGUGGGAUGGGCUCUACUGUUAAGGCGAGACAGUUGCUUACUUUGGGGGUGACAUGUUGAAUGCUCUCUGUUCUCCCCAAUGUAACUGGAGUAGUUUCCUAGCCUGAGCUAUUAAACAGCAGCACUAUUCUGAUUCAAGAAG
rnacentral:lncRNA from 1 species